AUCAUGAAGGCCCAAUUAUGGCCCAAUUUUCAAAAUUGGGCCGAAGCCCUCAUAUGGGCCUUACCCUAAAGCCCAUUCAUAUAUUCCUACUCCAUAUGAUUGUUCUUGGAUGGCUCAUUAUUGGCCCAAACACCAAAGCCCAAUAGAAAGGCCCAACACAAAGCCCAAGUGAAAUUAGGGUUUUCACAUAAAAUAACGAUUGGGGUUAAGUGUUUCUCACUUAACCCAUUGAGGACUUAAUCCAUUAAGUCCAUCAAUCUAUUGUGUCAUUCAUGUAGUGUGGUCGUGCUUAAUACAAAACCCUAAUCCAGUCAUCCAAAAUGCAAGUCCCGACAGACCAAAACCCAUAUGUCUAAUAUUAGGGUUUAUUAAACCCUAAUUAAGGUUUCCAACGAAAUCAUAGCCCAAUAGGCCCAAUAGCUAGGUCUUUUGAUCAAUUAGGGUUCAUUAGGCCCAUUAGGGUUUCACUAGGCCUAUUAGGGUUUCGCUAGUCGGACACCACCCAUUACCACCUCGGGAAGUGGUGGUCAACGGCGGCUCACGACGUCGGCGGCCACCUCACGGUGGUGGUUAGAGUUUCUAGUCCAUUUUUGUCCAAGAAUCCAAAAAGCAAAUACAGGCAAGCAAAAGCACACUGCAACCCAACAUGGCGGUUGGUGGCGGCCAGAGGCGGUAGCCACCACCUCACGGUGGUGGUUUUGAGUUUUUUUUUUAUUAUUCAAUUAGAUAUUACAACAUACAAAGAAAAAUCCCAAUAACAUACACACACUAAGUUGGACACACACAACUACACUUGUGGUGGCCAGCGGUGGUAGAUGGUGGCAACCACCACCUCACGGUGGUGGUUUUGAGUUUUUUUUUAUUAUUCAAUUAGAUAUUACAACAUACAAAGAAAAAUCCCAAUAACAUACACACACUAAGCUAGACACACACAACUACACUUGUGGUGGCCGGCGGUGGUAGAUGGUGGCAACCACCACCUCACGGUGGUGGUGGUGGCCUUUUUUAUCGAUUUUUACGGCCAAACAAACCACACACAACACACACUAAAACAGGAAACCCACCUACACAUUUGUUUUUCUCAGAACAAGAACACAUCCACCCUUCUGGUGGCGUUUGACGACGGCAGAACCACAGAGAGGCGACAUCGGUGGUGAUUUUACGAUGACAGCCACCACCCCAUGGUGGUGGCGAAGGCUCCUCUUGAUCUUCUACCCGUCAACAAGUCGACACACAUAGAUGGGACACACACGAACCGUCGACG
rnacentral:lncRNA from 1 species